CUUCAGAGAAGAGGGAAGUUGGAGAUGGGCCCACAAGGAAGGGAGAGGGCCGCUGUACUGCCUCACCCCAUCAUAACUCUUGGAUAUGAGAAAAGUGAUGGUCCUGCUUGCUUGCCACUGGGCCACAACCCAGGGCCAUACUCUCUGGCUGCCAAGGAUCUAGCACCUUCCUCUGAGAUUUCUUGGCUCAGGCCAACUGCAGGCUUCAGAUGGAUGAUACACAGGAGGUAAGGAAGCCACGGUUCCCAUGGCAAGGCCCCUGUAGCUUCUCUAUCUUCUCACCCCCAGAAGCCCCUUGGGGACAGGUCAGGGGACCUGGCAGAGUCUACU
rnacentral:lncRNA from 1 species